rnacentral:rRNA from 1 species
UACGAAGGGGGCGAGCGUUGUUCGGAUUUACUGGGCGUAAAGGGCGCGUAGGCGGCGGGUCAAGUCGAGUGUGAAAGCCCCGGGCUCAACCUGGGAAUUGCGCUCGAGACUGGUCUGCUUGAGUUCGGGAGAGGAGCGUGGAAUUCCCAGUGUAGAGGUGAAAUUCGUAGAUAUUGGGAAGGACACCGGUGGCGAAGGCGGCGCUCUGGACCGAGACUGACGCUGAGGCGCGAAAGCGUGGGGAGCAAACAGG